rnacentral:rRNA from 1 species
GGCUCCUCGAAGAGAAUAUAUGGGGAGUCUGGCCUGCCCGGUGAUAUGUUUAACGGCCGCGGUACCCUGACUGUGCGAAGGUAGCAUAAUCAUUUGCUUUAUAAUUGAGGGCUUGUAUGAAUGGUUUGACAAGAGUUUAGCUGUCUCCUUUUAAUUAUUUAGAAUUUAACUUUUAAGUGAAGAGGCUUAAAUUUGAUUAAUAGACAAGAAGACCCUAUUGAGCUUUAGAUGAAUGGUUGAUAUCUGCAUAAAUAAUCUUUGGUUGGGGCGAUUAAGGAACAAAAAAAGCUUCUUUGGUUAAAAAUCUUGCGGGUUCUGAUCCAUUAUUGGUGAUUAAAGGAAUAAGUUACCAUAGGGAUAACAGCGUAAUUUUACCUGAGAGUUCUUAUUGAAGGGAAAGAUUGCGACCUCGAUGUUGGACUAAAGUGUCCUAAAGGUGCAGAAG